UACGGAGGGUGCGAGCGUUGUCCGGAAUUACUGGGCGUAAAGAGCUCGUAGGUGGUUUGUCGCGUUGGUCGUGAAAACCGGGGGCUUAACCCUGGGCGUGCGGGCGAUACGGGCAGACUGGAGUACUGCAGGGGAGACUGGAAUUCCUGGUGUAGCGGUGGAAUGCGCAGAUAUCAGGAGGAACACCGGUGGCGAAGGCGGGUCUCUGGGCAGUAACUGACGCUGAGGAGCGAAAGCGUGGGGAGCGAACAGG
rnacentral:rRNA from 1 species